rnacentral:hammerhead_ribozyme from 1 species
AUCCAGAUGACGAGUUCCAAAUAGGACGAAGUGUGGCAUAUCUUGGAU